rnacentral:rRNA from 1 species
UCCGGAGGGCGCAAGCGUUGUUCGGAAUCACUGGGCGUAAAGCGCGUGUAGGCGGCUCUGCAAGUCGGGUGUGAAAUCCCGAGGCUCAACCGCGGAACUGCCCUUGAUACUGCUUGGCUCGAGUCCCGGAGAGGGUGGCGGAAUUCCCGGUGUAGGGGUGAAAUCCGUAGAUAUCGGGAGGAACACCAGUGGCGAAGGCGGCCACCUGGGCGGUGACUGACGCUGAGACGCGAAAGCGUGGGGAGCAAACAGG